CCCAAGAACCAAACAUUUCUUUAGAAAGAGAGUUGACAAAAGGACAAAAAGAAAAGGAAAAAACAUCUCACAAGUAAGGAAGAAAGAAAAGAGGUUUCUAAAAGUGAAUGGCCCUCCACAAGGACAACACCACAGGGGAACCAAUCAAUUGAUCCUUUCCUUUAAUCCAGACGAAAUCUUUCUUGCUGAUCAAAAUCAAUAAUUUUAGUAAAACCCUUCAUAACCAUUCUCCCCUUUUGUUUUCAAUCAAUCAAUAAUCUUCAUUCUAAGGAUUAUUGUGAUGCUUUCCUGAUUUUUAUGGCUUACCCUGGUGUCCUAACCUCACUUUACGCGGCUGCUAUUUGGAUUGCAUCAUACGCUCUUGUUGCAGUUAUCGGAUUAUUUCAGAUCUCUACGUUUAUUGGUACCUCUAUUUUCAAUAGGUAAAGCACGUUAAAGGAUUGAAAGAUUGAGAAAUAGUAAAUGAUCGUCGUUAUGGGCUACUCACAAUUGGUACAGUGUCCCGGAAGAAGUGUAAAGUAUGCACAGUAUGUUCUUGCAGAAAUCGGCAGCUGCAUUCCGCAUGGUGACAACCAAAGGUUAUGAUCGAAAACAAAUGGAAGUCUCGUGUGUGUCCUGUCGGUGAAGCUUGGAGCUGGAAAUGUACAUGUCCUUCCUUGAUUUCUUGAGAGUGUGUUUGUUCUUUAGGUGUGACUUUGUCUAUCUACUUCCACUGCCCGAGUAACCUGUUCUAUGCGAAAUGUUACUUUUUCAACAAUCUUUCGGGGUUUAUUGAUUGGUUUGGCCCUUGUAUUUCAGACGAAUCUUAACAUAAUAAUUGUCGACAUCAACCUGCAAGUGUUUUGUCUUGGAAUUAUAUAAAUAAAAGAUAACAUCUUUUACUCCC